UACGGGGGGAGCAAGCGUUGUUCGGAUUUACUGGGCGUAAAGGGCGCGUAGGCGGUCAGCACAAGUCAGUUGUGAAAUCUCCGGGCUUAACUCGGAAAGGUCAACUGAUACUGUGCGACUAGAGUACGGUAGAGGGGGAUGGAAUUCCGCGUGUAGCAGUGAAAUGCGUAGAUAUGCGGAGGAACACCGAUGGCGAAGGCAAUCCCCUGGACCUGUACUGACGCUCAUGCACGAAAGCGUGGGGAGCAAACAGG
rnacentral:rRNA from 1 species